CUGGAACUGUUCAGCUUUGCUCUGGUACAGAACACCAGACCAUCACUGGGAGCCCCACGCUGCAUCCUGGCUCUGGACCUCAGGAGAAGCCCAGCAGCACUCCAAAAGUCCACCAGUUUUCUCCACAAUGAGGCAACAGAUACCAUGAUCCAAACCAGGCUCUUGGGCCAAGAUAAAAGGUACCUGCUUCUAAUUCCUUUGCUGACAACAUGGCUGGGCUCAUUGUGGUGGAGAAACCAACCCUACACGACGUGGGAAGAAGGCAAAGGAGAAUCCCCUGGUUGUCAGGGUGCUGAGGAAUGUGGUAAUGUAACCACUCGGUCAACCUGACUGCCAGGAGUUUUCCUCUACAACAAAAGGAAAGCCACAUGGGCAUGGCUAUGACCCUGCCUCUGCAAAGGACCCUUUCCCUCUUAUUCUCAACAAAUAUUGAUCUGAAAGCCAAAUGGGAAUGCUUCACACCAGGCCCUACUGAAGAAACUAUUGGA
rnacentral:lncRNA from 1 species